rnacentral:snoRNA from 1 species
UCGUCUGUGAAAUUUCAAGAUUCUCCGGGGACACCCUGAUUCAAGAAUUCAGGACCCCAUCUAGUUCUGAGCAC